rnacentral:lncRNA from 12 species
CGUGUACCACAACCACGGUUCAACGCGUACAUUGAUGUCUGGAGUAAAAUCCACACAAGAUGCAUUUUCACCACAGCAUCUGGUUCUCUGGGAACCCCAUGGCCUGCUUUCUUGCUGCCUUUAACCUUUUGUCUGAAGUAUGUUCUGGCAGCCAAAGAUGUGUCUGAAUUACUUUGUGUUUUCAGGAAUCCCACUUUCCCUUCACUCAUAAAAUCUGCAACCUGGUGUAGGGAUGUUUGCAAUGUGUUUCCCCCGGUCCUUACAUUUUGGGGGAGGGUCAUGGAGCUAUUCGCUUCACAUCCACCCACAUCUCAGUCCUCAUCCCACCCAGAGAUUGAGGUUUCCUUUGUCAAUAGUCUGUACUCAAAACCACAAACCCUAUGGUGAUCAGUGAAACCAUGUCUUGCUUGAUGAAUGAGGUAGCUAGUAGAUCUCUGUCCUUUUGUGAAAAGAAUAUAAAAUGAAGCAAAUCUUAAAAGGAAAACCUGUACUGUUUUUAAGAGCAAAAGUGCUCAAGUUUAAAAAAAAAAUACGUUAGAUCUGUUACACUAUUGUUGGCAUCAGACCUAGGAGCUUUGUUAUAUUAAAAACAUCUUCUACAAAAGCAACCAAUUUAAGAAGAGUACGAAGAGCCUAAAAUAUAUAUCUCUCAAGCAUCUUCCUUACAGAAGCAGAACCAAAUGUUAUAUAAUGUGAAUGAGAUAAAACCACAAUCAGUGGCCUUCCUCCUCCAAACGGAGGGGACUUCUCAAAAUGGCCUAGUCACACCAUUUUCAUUUUUCAUUUGCCAAGGAUCAUGGGCUAGAUCACAGCUACAAUGAUUAAAGUUUCCCAGAGAGCACUUGUCAAUCCUCGUGACGAUACCUUCUCUAUGUCAAUUCUAGGCUGUGGGAGGUCAAUGGUUCAGUAUUUCUUUUCUUAUUCUCAAGUGGUACCUUCCUUUUUUUUUUUUCAAACUAGAGUAUUCAGGAAAUGAUCCUACAGCAAUUUGAUGAAGGUAGCUAGGUCCACCAACUUCACACUGAUUAAUAUGUAAACUUGGAUAUUAAUUAGCCUUUGUAACUCUGGAAAUUACAAAGUACUUUUCUAAGCAUUUGAGGGAACCCUGUAUAAAGGCAUAUGUUCUUAGAGAAGCUAAUCUGCAUAAUACUAUGCAAAUCCAUUCUCCCAAUAAAACAUGAUGAAUAGUGUGGCUAUGCA